GGUCCUGCCUGCCCAGUGACAAAAAGUUAAACGGCCGCGGUAUCUUGACCGUGCGAAGGUAGCAUAAUCACUUGUCUCCUAAAUAGAGACUGGAAUGAAUGGCAAGACGGAACUUAACUGUCUCAUUUUCUUAUAUCUCAAUUUCACCUUCCCGUGAAGAGGCGGGAAAGCAUUCGCUAGACGAGAAGACCCUGUCGAGCUUAAGCAAAACAUCAACUUUUUGACUUUUUUGUUUUAUUCUAAUUUUCUGCAAUUAAAUAAAACCUAAAAAACUUUAUUAAUGCUAGCUUUGGUUGGGGCAACCACGGAGAACAAAAAUCCUCCGCUUACAAUGAAUAUAAUUAAGACCUUACAAGUCUAAUAUUGUACUAACAAGUUAAUUGAUCCACUAUGGUGAUCAAAGGAAAAAGUUACCGCAGGGAUAACAGCGUUAUCUUUUCUGAGAGUCCAUAUUGACGAAAAGGUUUGCGACCUCGAUGUUGGAUCGGGACAUCCUGAAGGUGCAGAAGCUUUCAAGGGUUGGUCUGUUCGACCAUUAAAGUCCU
rnacentral:rRNA from 1 species